CCUACGGGAGGCUGCAGUGGGGGAUAUUGCACAAUGGGGGGAACCCUGAUGCAGCGACGCCGCGUGGGUGAAGGAGCGUUUCGGCGCGUAAAGCCCUAUCGGCAGGGAAGAAGGAGGACGGUACCUGACUAUGAAGCCCCGGCUAACUACGUGCCAGCAGCCGCAGUAAUACGUGGGGGGCAAGCGUUAUCCGGAUGUACUGGGGGUAAAGGAGGCGCAGACGGCAGCGCAAGGAAGGAGUGAAAGCCCAGGGCCACACCCCGGGACGGCUUGUGGAACUGGGCGGCGGGAGUGCAGGAGGGGCAGGCGGAAUUCCUGGUGUAGCGGUGAAAUGCGUAGAGAUCAGGAGGAACACCGGUGGCGAAGGCGGCCUGCUGGACUGCGACUGACGGUGAGGCCCGAGAGCGUGGGGAGCAAACAGGAUUAGAUACCCGUGUAGUC
rnacentral:rRNA from 1 species